rnacentral:rRNA from 1 species
AUUGAACGCUGGCGGAAUGCUUUACACAUGCAAGUCGAACGGCGGCACGGACUUCGGUCUGGUGGCGAGUGGCGAACGGGUGAGUAAUACAUCGGAACGUGCCCAGUCGUGGGGGAUAACGUAGCGAAAGCUACGCUAAUACCGCAUACGACCUAAGGAUGAAAGCGGGGGAUCGCAAGACCUCGCGCGAUUGGAGCGGCCGAUGGCAGAUUAGGUAGUUGGUGGGGUAAAGGCCUACCAAGCCGACGAUCUGUAGCUGGUCUGAGAGGACGACCAGCCACACUGGGACUGAGACACGGCCCAGACUCCUACGGGAGGUAGCAGUGGGGAAUUUUGGACAAUGGGCGCAAGCCUGAUCCAGCCAUUCCGCGUGCAGGAUGAAGGCCCUCGGGUUGUAAACUGCUUUUGUACAGAACGAAAAGGCUCUGGUUAAUACCUGGGGCUCAUGACGGUACUGUAAGAAUAAGCACCGGCUAACUACGUGCCAGCCGCCGCGGUAAAAC